rnacentral:rRNA from 1 species
UACGAAGGGGGCUAGCGUUGUUCGGAAUUACUGGGCGUAAAGCGCGCGCAGGCGGUUUUUCAAGUCAGUGGUUAAAGCCCGGAGCUCAACUCCGGAAAUGCCAUUGAAACUGUAAAACUUGAGGACGAGAGAGGUGAGUGGAAUUCCCAGUGUAGAGGUGAAAUUCGUAGAUAUUGGGAAGAACACCGGUGGCGAAGGCGGCUCACUGGCUCGUUUCUGACGCUCAGGCGCGAUAGCGUGGGGAUCAAACAGG